CCCUCACUCCUCGAGCACGCAGUGCUCCAACGCUGGGACUGGAGGCCCACAGAGGCUGUGAGAGCCUCCUCUCCUCUCGACAAAAGCAAUUUCCAGCUUCACGGCCACCAGCAGGACUCCACCAUAGGCUGUGUGGGGCAGCGUGCCUGCCAUUCACUGCUCCUAUCCAGAUGGAGCCAUCUCUUCCACACCGCCUGGAGGAAGAAGCCCCAUAGCCUGUGCUAUUUCCUGAACCUCUGCGCUGGCAGAGGACAAGACAGUGCCGGAGGGCAGGCUGCCAGCUGCCAGCACAGACAACUUCAGGACAGCGCUUGAGGCUGUGCCCAGGCACUCUUCAGACACAACUCCAGACCCUGUCAGGAAGAGCUCUCUGUCCCCUCAUCAGCACAAACCGAGGUAAGGACACAAGGAACCCAGGCAGCCUCUUUUGUAUAUCCAUUUCUGACCCUUUAGAAAUAGGAUGUAUGUUGUAUGGAGCGUAUGUGGUCAUCCCCAGGCCUGGCCCUGAAGCCCUGCAGGAGCUUCCCCAUCCCAUCCAUCCCAUUCCCUCCGUGACCUCCCAUUGCCCCAUGAUGGCUGGGCAGGGGUUUCCUCCCAAGAAGAGGCACACGGCGCGAGGAAGGCGGGUUGACUGUGCCUCGCUGAUUUUCUGCAGCUGAGGAUCUGGCCUGAGGCACUUCUCUUGAACUUCUUUGUCUGAGCACAUUCAUUGGUAGCCACAUGGUUGGCUGGGGAUGUUUUUGUAUGUCUGGGAUACACAGAUGUCUGAUAGCUGUCUGUCUAUCGAAGAGAUUUGAUAAUUAUUACUGCCUCCAGGAAACUGAUGCUGCUAAGAGUGUCUGUCAGAGAGUCCAAACAGCCUGCUGACAUCCUGGCACAGUUUCAUAAAGAAGUCAGUGUCCAAAAUAGAAAUACAUUUUCCAUGUACUUGAAAUAUACCAGGGGCUUGGUGGCGAGUUGUUGUAAUUAAUCCACUUCCUGGCUUGAUAUAUUUUGGGAUCAUUCUGGUGCGUGGUAUGUUAAAUACUGAACUCAGUUCAUACUGUUGGUUUUUCAUGGAACUUACAUUCGUUAUGUCCAAAUGAGUGAUUUGUAGGCACUCCUUGCAAAGCAGAAAGAAGCUUUGGACUGCAUUUCUGGUGUGCUUUUACCAUUCACUCAGUAAUUUCAUCAUACACAUCACUGUGAAAUCUGCAGGACACAGUAACACAUUUUAAAGGUGGCAGCAAAACUAUUUUCUCUUUUAUUCAGCUAGAAGUCAUUUGCUAAAAGACUGCAAAGACAAAGAUACAAUAUCGUAUCAUCAGCCUCUUGACAGCAGCAGAAAUAUGAAUAGUGUCUGUGUGCACAUUGCUUCUGGUCUGAAAGAGAGAGAAAGAAGGGGGACGAGAGAGAGGGAGGGAGAAAAAGAUGCUGCUCUUGAUAUUCCUCACGUCAUUUUGGAGUCGUGCUAUUUACAUCCUGGACAGACUGAAUUUAGCCCAGCCUAGCAGAGAAGAAUUUGACCCUAAUUUUUAAAGGACAAUUACCUGACUGUCUAGUUACAGUUAUUUAAUAGCCUUUUGGAAGCUACAUCUGACCUGAAGAUCCUAUUUGUUGCUCGGAUCUAACGUGAACAUCAAAGGUAUGUGCGUUAGGUAUGCACGCAAAUCCCCUGCAGCUUUUUUCAUCAUGGUGCUGCAACCUGAUACCCCAGCGGGAAUGCAGUGCCUACAGCACCCCGACACAGCCCCGCUCCUUGCCACAGCUCGCAGGGGUCGCCUCGCUCACGGAGCACUGUACGCACCAGGAAAGCAGCCUGGCUUUAGAUGUUACAGUUCUUAGGAACGUUUUACCAAACGCAGUUCAUUCCUGAGAAUCAGGCUGCUAUAUACUUGCUCUCAGUUCCUGAUAACCUUUCCAUGCUUUGCUGUUGCUGCUGUUUGUUUCUACAUGACAAAGCAAGCUGAUUUUUUUGUGUUGCAGAAAAACAGAGUAAAAUCCUGUCCUUGGCUAAAACGCAUCCUUAGUUGCAGAGUCUGCCCGAAGAGAUCAUGAAAAAGAAGGAAGAAAGAGGAAGGCCCCUGGACUGCACUGCCUCGGGGAGCGGAGGAUCACAUCCCUAGCCGCAAGCAGAGAAACAACCUGCCGCUCCCGGCUGAUGACAGCUGGACCCGCAGGAGCUCGUGUUCUUCCUGAAGAAGAGCUCAAGCGAUCUCUCAGCACGGCAAUCUGUGCAGAAGCAGGUCUGCUUCAGCUCUGUGGUUAGCCUGCGCUGGCAGCGGGACAGCCAGGACAUUCACUGUUUGUUAUACAAGCACUUCAAGAGGGUGGGGGACAGUGAUGGGAUAAGGAGUUGCCCAUGCCUCUUCGCCUUUCAUCACCUCCCAGGAAUGUCUGCCUUCAGGGCUAAUUUAGAUGCAUUUACGUUAAUAAAUGUGUAGCCUUUUCAGCCACGUUUUUUCACUUUAAUUCCUGUCUGCCCUUGCUGGCACAUGCCCUUGGCAAUUUGCAGUUGUUUUGCUCAU